CCCCAAUGGGUUCUCCGGAUUUCUGGAGACUUGUAGGGGUUGUGGGAUUUUUGAUGUGUCGUCUCCGGACGGGCGGUGCAGGGUAGGCUGCUUGGACAUGGUCGGUUCGAGGAUCGAUUCGAGGGCCAGCCUGUCGAUGAUGUGUGAUGUAUGCGGUCUAGGGUAGGCUGGUUUGUCUUGGUCCAAUUUGAUGUCGGCUCCCGUGCAGGCCAGAGUGAGGGGGUACAGGGUAGGCAGCUUAGAUUUGGUCGAUCUGGAGGUCGAUUCUCCGGCUGGCGGAUCUGACACUGUCGAAACGAGGUGCGAGCGGUGUAGGGUAGGCUAGUUUCGUCCUCGCCGGGUUGCGAUUUGGACGAGAUAUGUGGUCUAGGGUAGGCUCUAGGGUAAGUAGAAUUCGAGUUUCGUCGCCGACAGUUUUCUGUGGGUGUGUGGUAGGUACAGGGUAGGCAAAUCUCCCUCCGGCCAGUCCUUGUCUGGUGGUCGUGAGUCGAUUUUUUUGUUUUGCCAUACUAUUGAAUUUUGCGGAAAUUCAAAAGUGGCUCGGGAGUCCCGCCUGGCGUGCGUCCGGCUCGAACGUCGUCGGUGUACAUAUGAGAGGGAGUAAUCCGGCCCGGCCGGGGCCCAUCGCGAGCUGCCGGGUAGGUAAAAGUAAAAAAGUUGUUAAGAGGCGCGGUGUCGGCGUGCUUGUAUUUGCGGGAGAGAAUUAUCUGGAGGUGCUGGGUAGCCGGGAAGACUUGGACGGAUCUGGCCCGGGAAUGGGUCUGGGCCUGGAGUCUGGAGUGGUGUAGGGUAGGCGUAGAUAGAUGAGUGGUCUAGGGUAGAUACAGGGUAGCCAGAAGUCUAGUGUAUAGUAUGGGGGUGUAGGGUAGGUCUGGACACCGUUUUCCACUUCGCCCUUCCCUUUACUCGAGGGAGGACGAUCUUGGCUGGGACGGAGGUGUAGGGUAGGCUUAAUUAACGAUUACAUGAUCUGUGUCACUCUAGGGUAGGUGAAAAUCCCAUAUAUAUCUGAUCACAUUUGGUGAAGAGGUGGUUUGGCUGGUGAGAUGGACAAAAGUGCAUUGUAGAAUUAUAUGUGAUUUUGCAAAAGUGGGUGUGAAAUUGGGAAAUCGGGUUUCCCGCACAGAUAAGAGCACGUUUGAGGUGCCAUGAGAUGCACCUCUCCGAGACGACCUCAACGGUACCACCGAUGUGUUGGUCAGGCUCCUGUGCGGCCGUCCAGGGCGGGAUAAGUAGAGAAUGAGGUGGUGUAGGGUAGGUGGCCAGGUCCAGGGUAGGUUCGCCAAAUCCGUCAAUCCGGCUUGAAUCGAAGGUCAGGUCUAGGGUAGGCCGGAGUCGGGUCUAGGGUAGGCAACUCUCACCCUCGAAGUGGUCUACCCGGUAGCCAACUUCAAUCGCCUCUCACGGCCGCCACGGAUCUCGCAUGACGACGGGACUACCACCAUCGGAUUCGCCUUGGUCGAAAUAGCUGGUAUAUGCACUUUUGAAAAAAUGCGUGCAAAAUGGUUUUGUGAUUUGGUGGCCGUGAGUCGAUUUUUUUGUUUUCCCAUACAAAUGAAUUUUGCGGAAAAUAAAAAGUGGCCCACGAGGCAGUCCUGGCGUGCGGCCCACUAAAACGGUCUCGGAGGGUAUAUGAGAAGGGAGCAAAUCCGGCCGAGCCUGAAAGGGUGAGGACAAACCGGGCGAGCAACCUCUCAGUAUCAGAUCUUGCAGACUUCCACUGCGUGUCCCUCUGUACAGCUUUGCAGGCUCCGGCCUCGGCAGCGGGGGGUUCAUAGUGGUCGUCGACCUCCACGAAACUGCACGCUCCGGCGUGACAGCGUACUGGGGAUGCCUGUGUAGAUGCAGUCCGGGCUUGCCUGGACCGCUAGCAGAUGGGCUCUGUGGAUGACUGGCCGCUGGCUAGACCUGAAACCUGAGCAACGGGAGGUAACCUCUCGCCGCGGACACCGGAAUGGUAGAAGCGGCGUGAUGCGUCCUCCUCUUGGGGCCCCUAAGCCACACCU
rnacentral:misc_RNA from 1 species